rnacentral:lncRNA from 1 species
UAAAAUUAGGGUCUUACAGAUGCCUCUAUUUAAUGUCAUUCUAGCCGGAGAUAUGAAGGUUAAAAUCUUUGUCUCGACGAGGUAGAAUGGGCUUAAAUAAUAACAAAGAGACGAAUUUUGGUCCCUAAGAUACCACAUGAUGCAGAUGUAUGCAUGCAAAAGUUAAUACUCUGUGGUGGAAUACAUGGCCACAAAGGAAAA